rnacentral:rRNA from 1 species
ACGACUCUCGGCAACGGAUGC